rnacentral:rRNA from 1 species
UACGUAGGUGGCAAGCGUUGUCCGGAUUUAUCGGGUUUAAAGGGUGCGUAGGCGGUCUUUUAAGUCAGUGCUGAAAUAUCCCGGCUUAACCGGGAGGGUGGCAUUGAUACUGAAGGACUUGAGUAAAGUUGAGGUUGGCGGAAUUGACGGUGUAGCGGCGAAAUGCUUAGAUAUCGUCAAGAACACCGAUAGUGCAGACAGCUAACUAAGCUUUAACUGACGCUGAGGCACGAAAGUGUGGGGAUCAAACAGG